GGACACUCUGAAGUAAUGGUAAAGUCUACUAAAUACAGAAGCCACUGGCAAUCAUUCCCCAUCACUAUCAAGUACACGGAGCAAUGGUUCCAGGGACUGGAAUAUAGACAUUUUGGAACCAUUGUUCAGCCUCCUCAACUCACAUUGCAGAAGAUAUAGAAGACACAUCAGGAGAGAAAACUAGGAGCUUGUGAACACAGCUGCUGUGAGCUGGAGUUCCUCGGCAUGAGUGAUUCACCUCACCAGCUGGGGAAGCAAGUCUCAGUCCAAGAGGACAGACUUUCAGUGAACAUAUGCCAAUAGUUUCUCCUGCAUCAAAAGUCCAGAGUCUAUGGGAGUCUUGGAGUAGGAGUGGCCUUGAUGAUAUCCUUCAUCUUCUACUCUUGAGGGCAUCAAGGUGGGCCAUAUGGGAUCCCUCAUGGGGAGUCAUCCAGACCUCUGAUAAUAAUAAUCUGGGCACCCAAGAUGAUCCAACUACCUGGAAGCCUUGCUAAUCCUAGACAGGACUUGAAGUCACUUGCAUUGUCAUAGAUGGCUCAUUUGUCACUCACCUUUUUCAAUUUGGAAUUUUUUUGAGUGACGCAGUUUACAGUAUUGUUUAGAGGCUUUUUACAAUUGCUGCGGGCGAUCUGAACGUUAAUCUGGUAUUCCAUUCGGUCUGUAAUCUGUCAAUGAACAAUGGUGUAAUUUAAAUUUUUUAAAAAAAAAUGUUCUGCCAGGCUGCUAUUGUAAAGUCUCUAGGGAGG